rnacentral:tRNA from 1 species
GGGCAAUUAGCUCAGUUGGUUCAGAGCGUUCGCUUCACACGCGAAAGGUCACUGGUUCGAAUCCAGUAUUGCCCACCA